CAACCCCUCUCCUCUGCUAGGCGCCAUGGAGGAGCCCCCAUAGCUCCUUCCCCAUUUGAAGCCUCCACCCUCGCCGGAGCUUCGCCGAAGGUCGUCGUCGCCGAGCUCCACCGCCUAGCCAUCAUCUUCUUCCCCGGGAUCGAAGUUUCUCCCAAAUUUUCCCAAGUUCUUCUUCCUCUACUUCAAGGACAAGAUCAAGCCCGAGCUCAAGUUUCCCCAAGGCCGCUCUACACCAACUUGUGGCACCUCAUCGGAGUUCUAGCCAUCGCCGAGACCGAAGCGCCAGCUCAAGUGGAAGUUGAGACCGAGUCGGAGUCUGUCGUAGACGACACUUCUUUGGUGAAUCAAGGCAGGCACCUAAGCAUCUUUUUACCCUAUUUUGGAUCAAUUAAAAUAUUUGAGUCUUAUUUGUGCAUAAGUCUAUGGUAUAAAUGUUUGCUUAGCUCCUAUCUUAUGCAUUACCUUCCUUGAUUUAGAAUAAAUCCUUUUAGGUGA